GACGUAGGGCGCGAGCGUUGUCCGGAUUUAUUGGGCGUAAAGAGCUCGUAGGCGGCUUGUCGCGUCGACUCGUGAAAACCCGCAGCUCAACUGCGGGCCUGCAGCCGGAUACGGGCAGGCUAGAGUUCGGUAGGGAGACUGGAAUUCCUGGUGUAGCGGUGAAAUGCGCAGAUAUCAGGAGGAACACCGGUGGCGAAGGCGGGUCUCUGGCCUGUAACUGACGCUGAGGCGACGAAAGCCGUGGGGAGCAAACACGG
rnacentral:rRNA from 1 species